CUUAAUGUAACACCCCAUUAUCCUCCACUAAUAUUUUCUUUUCCCUACCACUAAUCUUUUUCCCUACCAUCACUAAUAUUUUCUUUUCCCUACCACUAAUCUUUUUCCCUACCACUACUCCUACCUCUCCACCACACUACUCCUUUUCCCCCACCACUACAUUCUUUCUCCCACUCUCACAACUUUUCUCCCACCAUUAUCACACUCCAUAGAAGCCUUUGAAGCCCCAAGAGAAGUAGCAAAGCAAGGGAGAGUGUGGGAAAACUAUAGAGUGAAGGUUGUGCUUCGAGGGUCCGGGCGACAGAAAGUGAAGCCGAAGAAGAAACGACUCCACGCCAGCUUUAAGAACAAUUGAGGUGGGCAUUACUUUUACUAUACGUAUAUAGAGAUCCCCUGCGUGUCGUAGGCCUCUUAUACGAAUAUAUGCAUGAGAUGAUUUUAACUGUUAAUUUCAGUUUAUUAUUAUGCCCAAAUGAUAAAUGACUCUUAUGAAAUGAAAAUGAAAUGUUCAUGAAAUGAAAUGAAAUGUUUAUGAAAUGAUUGACUGCCAAAAAUGUUUAUGUUUUUAUAUGUAUCCUAUCUGUGUUGGUUCGCCAACUUUAAAGGAAAUCCAAUUGGGAUCCUAUGCUAGACAAAGGUCGCUAGCUAGGGUUAACGUGUACACUCAUGGAGAUCGCGAGUCGCUUGCGACCGGUCUUGGCGUCCGUGGUAAGGAGGCCUCCUUCCCGGCGCGUGACAGAAAGGACAGAUAUGGAUCAUAUAGACUGAAAAUGGGAUGCGCAUCCACCUUUAUGAAAAUGAAUGAAAUGUUUUAGUAAGCGCAGGUCAUUCAAGAAAACCCCUGUGUGUUACUGUUGGCAGUUCAAUUUAUAUAUGUAUGCAUGUUGUAUUUUCGGCUUAUGUCACUGAGUAUUUUUAUACUCAGCCCUGCAUGUAUUUCUAAAUGUGCAGGUUGAGCAGGCGAUGGAAUGGAUCGGUGUUGAGCAGAUUUCCCUUUUGAUGUUUAUGUAAUGAAACCUUGAGUAUGCAUCUCCAUAUGCAUAACUCACACGUUUUUUCGCUGCAAACACUCUGACUUAUUUAUCAUUUCUACUUGAACUUAUUACUACUUCAUUUUAAUUAACUUUCAGUUGGGGUCUAAUCGUUAUGGCAGACUCAUUUGUGAAUUACCCAAGUGGUUAUAUAUAUAUACCACUAGUUUGUUAUUAAUGUUGGUUACUUAGUAAAUCCCCUUUAAUUUCC